CGGAGGUCGGGCUGCCUGGGAGAGCCGCUCGCUUACCACUGCCCCAGGGCUUUCUCCUGACGUGGGGCUGGGUGAGAAGCUGGAGAGAAUUGAAAGCACCUCUGCAAAUAAUCCAGGAGAGGAAGCUAAAGUGAUGUUCUGUGGAUUGCUCGUGGCCACCACAUGUGUUGCACAGCAGAUGCAGCCAACAGGGUGUCAAGCAUCUUUGGACCAUGGGUUCUUCUCAUCACAGAUGACUUCACCUGCAAGGACAGUCCUUGAACUGGGACUAUACUGUGGGAAGGUGGAGAAUCCAGAUAUCUGCGCUCACUCUGGGCAGCUGUUUCUUCCAGAUGCAUGCUGUUGCUUCAGUUCCUUUGCUGGAUGGGGAUGCAAGAUUUCCAACACUGAGUAAUAGCAGAAUAUUUCUUAUCUAGGGGGCUAGUUGUGGUUGGAGAUAAUUUUCCUCAAGUAUUCGCUCACACACAUUCUGCUGUACAGCUGGGAUGUUUGGAGAGGGUAAAAAGAAAAGCUCACAAA